ensembl:lncRNA
CUUACAGAACCGCUCUUUUGAUUGGUUCACAAAGAUUCAUUUCUGAAGGCUGAUCUGCUGGCUAAUGUCCCAAUUAGAUGCCCAUGGGAAUGUCACGUGAGCACCUCUACCACCCCCAUCCCUGGAAACCUCUCCUGCUCUGUGCUCCUGGCUCCCGUGGUGACCUCCUGUGUAUCCCUCCCCAAACCCUUGGGGUAAGACCCAGCCUCAUAGCCACCACUCGGUCAUCAGAAUCCCUGUCCCCUUUCCAGUUUUGUGUGGCUGGAGUUUCAAGUAUAGGCAUCCUCCCACAUUGAUUCUCACUUCCUAAUCCAUUCCGUCCCCACUCCUGGGCAUUGUGGGGCUAAAAAUAGCCAAACUCCUUCCAGGCAGCAGAGUAUUGCAAAAGGUUUAUCAUAGGCCAGGACUACUGUGGUUUUGCUUUCCUUGACAACCUGAAGAUUUUGUGUUUUUUUUACAAACAAAUAUCGCAAUCUGUUUAAAGUAUACUUUUGUACUUUUAUACUUCUGCUUACUGCCAAAAUAUCUCAUCUCAAUUUGUUUACUUACUUUUGCAGUCCUGGGGGUUGAACCUAGAACCCAGGAAUUGAUGCUUACUAUACAACUGCUGUAUCACUGAACUACAAUCCUAGCACUUUGAUUUUUUAAAACCAGUGACCUAAUGAUUAUAAUUGCCUAACUUUUUAAGGAAUGGGGAGAUGCAUUUGUCUACAUUGUACAAAAAUUUUAAAAAGUCAACUUCUAAGUCAACCUCUUAGUGUGUGAUUCAAUAUAUAUAUGUGAUAUAUAGUGUGAGUGAUUUGAUAUAUAGAUACAUAUGUAUGUAUAUAUGUAUUCAACACCAGUAAAUAGUUUUUCUAAAACUGGUGACUGUAUUCAAUGUAUUGGUUGGUACUUUUAAAUUUAAGUAAAUUUUUUAGUUUUAGUAUUUUUCCCCUUGGAGGUAAAAUACUAAAUAAAUACAAAAGCUACUCUCCUUUCAGACAGCAAUUUAAGCUAGACAAUGAAAUGGUUUUUGAUGACAUGACAGUUAUAACUGUGUAUUUAGUUUUGUAAAUAAAAAGCACAAAUUUCUCUAAAAGUUCUUGUUACAGCAUUAGUUAUAUGUUGCUAUAUUCUUAAAACAUAUUACAGAAAUAAUUUCAAUAGUUCCCUAAAUAGGGAAUUAACAGAGAGAUUCAGGUGCAGGUAGGUAAUCUUUUCUGUAUUGCUACAGUAAUGAUAAAAUCUGGAGUAUUUAGAAAUAUUUCAAACUAUGAAUGGAUGCCCAGGAAAAAUUUCCUUCUUUGAGAACUGAGUUAAUUAUAGUACUUCUGCUUUUAUCAAAGCCCUAUUAUUUGGCAGUAAAAAUCAUUGCAGGUUAAAAAUGGACUCACAUUAGCCUCACUAUAGGUGUAGUAUUCUACAUACUUUAAAAAGGUUGAUUCCUUUCCAGACUCACUGAAUACAAAUUCUUUAAAAAAUAUACACCCUCAAAAUGGUUAUUCUGUGACAUAAAAUCUGAGUUGUUUAUAUUUUAGAUAACAAUAUUUUCAUUUUCAGAAUUUUAAAGCAACCUUAUAAAAAUUAGCAUGGCCACAGUAGAAGCACAUUUUAUAAGUUGCAUUUAUAAGGCAGCGUUAGCUAAUUUACUUAUAUCUAAUUUUUCAUGCAGCUCUCUGGAAGGCCAGAGCAUGUCUACCAUGGAGCCCUUCAAUUUUAACAGAGAUCCUUUCUCUAUAACUAAUUCAACGCAUGGCUAUAUGGGUAAUUUUGAACAAGUGGAUCUUUCUCCAGCCUGAAAGGCUGCCAGGACAGAGAGUGAGCAAGAAAAAGAGGAUUUCAAAAAGAGUCACAGAAAACGACAAAAAAAUCAUGAAGCACCACUGUAUUGCCACAGUUCCCUUACAGAGGUGCAUUGAAAGGUGAUGAUACAGAACAAAGAGAACACAUCGGCACAAUAGAAUAGAAUACCUGGGACAGCGGUUGGAAAUGAUUUUGUCAUCAAAUAGAGCACCCAAAAGUGUAAAAAGUUUGACUAUAUCUUCUGGAAAGAAUUUCAAAAGAAUUAUUAUUUCUUUCCCGCACCUUUAUGUUACAGAAUUUCACAUAGCAGUGAAAUAUGAAAUACAGAUUAGAAAUGUAAAAUAGGAACUGCCAUUGCAACCUUCAUAUAUCAUACUUAAUGCAAGAACCUUUUAGACAAAUAUUACAUUAUACAAGUGUAUAAAUUAUCAUUAGGCCUUCUAAAUUUAGAUACAACUAUUUAAUUGAAUCCAAGGUGUUGGAAUAAAUUAUUAAAGAGUGUUCAAUCUUCCACCCCUGUGAAAUCCUGACAAACAGAAUACAUUCUGGGUCAUAUCAGCAGCAAUACUGCAAAAGACAAAGGAGAGCUUUGAUUUUACAAAUGGAAAUGGAAAUACUUUCAUAGUAUUUAAAAAAGGAAAUUGUCCAAGGAAAAAAAUCUUAAAUCUCCCCAAAUUAAGACAGUAUCAUUGAUUAUUUAACAUAUUUCUUGAAUUUUAGUAAAAAAGGAAAAAGAAGAAAGAAGUAAUAACUGGAAACAUGAUAAGGACAGGUUCUUGGAAAUAAUAAGGCAGAACCUACUCUAACAAAAUCUAAUGGGCCACAGGGUUGCCAGACUUAUUUCUGAAUCUAGACCUUUGGUCGAAUGUUGCUUAAAUAUUUCUUUUCAAAUGUAAAAUUGGUACCAGGUCCUAGAGGCUGGCUGAUUCCACAGAUGGAGACCAACUGGGGAUGUAUUCCCAAGAGAGGGAAUUCUGUCUUGAGAGUUCUACCUUUUCAAUGCAAAUCUUUUUAUGUAAAUGAAGCUGAAUAUAAUGAGAGUUUUGAUGUGUGAGGAAUAAUAUUUAAUGCAAGAGUCAAGAUCAGGACAGGGAUGCUUUGGAAUUCAUUUUAAAGCAUUCUACAUGUAGAAUAAAUGGUUUUCUAUACAUUAAGUUAAUAAGAGCAAUUGAAAGAUCCCAAAGAUUUAAAAGGUGAGUUUUAUUAGAAUUAUUUUAGUGGUAAAAAGAUUUUCAUGUGAAAUGAUUAGAAUCAGGGAAUACACUUAGAAACCUAUUGCAAUGUUUCCAAGAUUCUUGAAAUUGAUGUUAUCUUGAAAUUUUAAUUAAUGUGUUUUUUUUGUGUGCAUCCUUGUGUUUUGUCUUCCUCGAUUCAUUCUGAGGUCUUGAAGAAAAUAAGGACAAUUAAGGAAAAAAUGCAAAGAACCAACUGACGCUGUUUUUGAGAUACAAAACAAAUUUCAAAACUUGUUAGAGGGCCAUAGUCCUGCGAGCUAUGGUUUUCAAGAUAAGGAUUGAUAAUGUUAGUGGAAAUCAGUGAUUUGUAUAAAGAGCAUGGGUUCUUUUUAGAAUGGCAGAUUUAGAAGUGCAUACUUAACAGGGAUGUUUUUCCUUUACUCAGGAAGCACAGAGGACAACAAAACAGAGCAGCUCCUUUGUUAUGGGGAGGAGAAAAUGAGACAGAGAACAGCAAAGCCCAAUGACGUUUAGAUUCUUGAGGCUUCUUUCUCUUACCUGGUGUCCAAAGCUAGAGGAAUGGAAGAAAUGUCCCAUCUAGUCAUCUCAGGUGACAUCGCUAAUCAAUCAACACACUUUACCACUGUGUCUCGACUUGGGCUGGAGUGAAUCUCCCUGGCACCGAACUCUAGGGGAAGAUGAAGAAAAGAGUAAUGCAACAGAAUAUGCAGACAACUUCAAAAGUAAAACAGAACAGAACAGAACAAAAGAACUGUGCUUUCAUCAUUUCUGCCUUUGCCAGCUCUCUUCUGCCUAGGAUAGUUGCUUCAUUUUCUUUCCCCUUUUCUUGCUGUGCAGCCAAGACUCUUUAGUUUUUUCAUGUCAAAAUUAUUCUAGCCUCCCUUCUACAUAACCAAGUACAAAACCUUGUCGGCUCAACAGUAUUCAGAAAAAUAAAAGCAAACAGGAGAAGCUAAAUCAUUUACUUAGCACUCCUUACGGGAAUUUUCAGUCAGUGGUGGGGUGGGUAUGGUGGGGAGGAAGAAGUAUCCUUCUGUAGUAAUGGAUACUUUCCAAAAUGUGUAAACAUGGAGGACAGAGACUGCAGGGUGCUUCCCAGAACUGAUUCUCCUCUUUCUCCUUCAUGUCAGAGAAGUCUUGCACCAUUUUAUGCAGUGGUUCUGCUUUUCAUAAGAGAACUCUUGCAUGAUCUCUGCAUCCAUGGAGAGCCAGCCAAAGGAUUAUGGUACCCAGUAUUAUGGCAAGUGACAUGGAGCCCAACUAUAGGCCAAUGGGAUGCAAAUGGAAGAGAGCAUGGGAAGUCUGGACCAGAUGAUGUGCAUGGAGAAUGAAACAUCUCAAUUAUUAUUAAAUUAGAGAAUUUGUCUGCAAGGACAUCUAGGAAGAGAGACAACAAAAUAAGAAGAGACAGAGCUAGAACUGUGAAAUGGUUAUCUUUCUUUUGACAUCAGGAAUGAGGAAAGAAUACAUCAUACUUGGGAUGUCGAUAAGUUGAAUUAUGUUUGGGGUAAAUCUGUAUCAGGAAAAUGUUUCCCAGCAGCAACAAUCCUACUCAGUUAUAAUAGACUGAUAAUGAGAAAAAAAUAUAUGCAAGUGGAAGAGUAAUUAGAAACUUGGCUUCUGUGCUUCUAGUUCCACCUUUGAUGAUGGUCUGGAUGGCCUUAAGGGGAGUGUGGUUUCUUCCACAAAACACUGAGAUCAAAGAAGGAAAGCAUUUGUCUUUUGUGUGGACCAUUUUAAUCUCAAAUUGGUGGAUUGAAGAGAGCUUUUGAUACUUACAGUCCUGGUCAAGUUGAGGUGGGAAAAUUUUUUAUCGUCAUCAACACUUGUGGUGCAUGUUGGGUUUGGGGCAAUGAUAUGAAGAAAAAGCCACUCAAAUCAUAACUACACCAAUGGUGAUGGCGUUCUCCUGGGUUUCAAACAACUUAUAUCGGGCCUAAAAAUGGAGGAUGAAGCAGCAACUCGUACAGAAUAAUUAUAGCACAGUGGCUUUUCACAGAGAAGUUUGUUUUGCUUUUGUGUGAAGUCCAGUUGGAGGUGGUGUGGACAGUGGGAGGCGUUGGGGGACUUGGCAGAGUGAUUAUCAGUUCUGUAACCCAAUAGCCUCCAUCUAAAUUCUGGCUCACCAUAAACUAAUUCUGUGACUUUGGUUAACUUAGCUAUGCUUUGACUUUCUAAUCUGUAAAAGUAAUAAUUUUUAUUAUAGUGCCAGGAUAAUAUAAUUAAAUAACAAUGGGAUAAUGAUAGUACCUCGCUCAUAGAAAUUCAUGAAAAGUACUUAACAUAACUGAUGCACAAUAAGCACUCAAAUAUUAGCAAUAUCACUUUUACAAGAAAAGGUAUUUUUCUUUCUCUAUGAUGCUGAUAUUUCUGCAUUCUUAUGUGUUCCUUAAUUCUGAUUAUAGGUACGACUUGCUUCAUCUUCAAUUUUUAAAAAGAGUCCAGGAAUAGAUUUUUUAGCAAUGUGUAUAUUAUGCUCACCACUAUGAUAGUACUGUGCUUCCUUUCUAUGUCCCCAGUGGGUGACACAAUGUGGAAAUUCUCUUAGGGAAAAUAGAGACACAACAUCAGCUAAUAUUACUAAUACACUUAUUUUUUACAUUUCACCUCUUUCUAACAUGCAGGAAUACUCUUCCUCAUCCUUCAAAUUAGAACUGAUAAUUCCCUUUUUUCUUGAUGGUGAUCUCAACCAUAUUUCACCAAUGUGUUCAUGUUUAUGGGAAAAGAUAAACUUUUCAGCAAUUUAAUUUGACUAGUAUCUAUUAAGAUUUUUUAUGUACAAAUAAUAUUCUAGGAAGAC